rnacentral:rRNA from 1 species
UUACACAUGCAAGUCGAACGAUGAUGCCCACUUGUGGGUGGAUUAGUGGCGAACGGGUGAGUAACACGUGAGUAACCUGCCCUUAACUCUGGGAUAAGCCUGGGAAACUGGGUCUAAUACCGGAUAUGACUCCUCAUCGCAUGGUGGGGGGUGGAAAGCUUUUUGUGGUUUUGGAUGGACUCGCGGCCUAUCAGCUUGUUGGUGAGGUAAUGGCUCACCAAGGCGACGACGGGUAGCCGGCCUGAGAGGGUGACCGGCCACACUGGGACUGAGACACGGCCCAGACUCCUACGGGAGGCAGCAGUGGGGAAUAUUGCACAAUGGGCGAAAGCCUGAUGCAGCGACGCCGCGUGAGGGAUGACGGCCUUCGGGUUGUAAACCUCUUUCAGUAGGGAAGAAGCGAAAGUGACGGUACCUGCAGAAGAAGCGCCGGCUAACUACGUGCCAGCAGCCGCGGUAAUACGUAGGGCGCAAGCGUUAUCCGGAAUUAUUGGGCGUAAAGAGCUCGUAGGCGGUUUGUCGCGUCUGCCGUGAAAGUCCGGGGCUCAACUCCGGAUCUGCGGUGGGUACGGGCAGACUAGAGUGAUGUAGGGGAGACUGGAAUUCCUGGUGUAGCGGUGAAAUGCGCAGAUAUCAGGAGGAACACCGAUGGCGAAGGCAGGUCUCUGGGCAUUAACUGACGCUGAGGAGCGAAAGCAUGGGGAGCGAACAGGAUUAGAUACCCUGGUAGUCCAUGCCGUAAACGUUGGGCACUAGGUGUGGGGG